AACGAACGCUGGCGGCGUGCCUAACACAUGCAAGUCGAGCGCGAAUGGAGCAAUCCUAGUAGAGCGGCGCACGGGUGCGUAACACGUGGAUAAUCUGCCUGGGUGUCUGGGAUAACCAGUCGAAAGACUGGCUAAUACCGGAUAAGACCACGGUCUCUUCGGAGGCUGUGAGAAAAGGUGGCCUCUGUAUACAAGCUAUCACAUCCAGAUGAGUCCGCGGCCCAUCAGCUAGUUGGCGGGGUAAUGGCCCACCAAGGCGACGACGGGUAGCUGGUCUGAGAGGACGAUCAGCCACACUGGAACUGAGACACGGUCCAGACUCCUACGGGAGGCAGCAGUGGGGAAUUUUGCGCAAUGGGCGAAAGCCUGACGCAGCAACGCCGCGUGUGUGAUGAAGGUCUUCGGAUUGUAAAGCACUUUCGACC
rnacentral:rRNA from 1 species